UUGUAACAAAAUAGUGCAAUGUGCGAAAUUACCUACCCUUAGGCAUCCAAGUUCAGAGGGAGCUCUAGGAUCCUUAAGCAUGUCUUACCAGAGGGUGGUAGAACUUAAGAGCUAGGAGUAGGUGUAAAUUUAGAGAGUAACCCUAGUAGGAGGUGGUCAUACCCAGCCAUGGCAUAGACUGACACAUCCCUAACCUCUUGCUCAGAUUCAAACAAAUAAGAGCAGACUCUUAUAGAGUAAAACUCAUGUCUGAAUGGUGAUCAGGACACCAAUAGACCCAAAUUAGAGCUCAGCACAUUGAGGGAAAGGGAACGGGAAAGAAAUCGAGUAAAGACUCAGAAAAGUCUAGUUUUGGAUCACAGACAACAAUUCAUAGUGCUACUAUGACCCAGGACAAAACUCACAUAUAAAGGGAAUAGAGGGAAAAGGAUUAAAGAGAACAUAAGAGACAUAGCAUGCUUGAAGGUAAUUACAUAGUGCAGGAAAGCAUAAAGAAACACACAAAGAAAGAGGGGGUAGAAGCAGAGAAACUAAACAUAUAAUAAGGAUGCUAUUUAACAUAGAAGAACAUACAAGUAGUAAAUUCUAGAACAGCAGAAUAGUAAUAGCAAACAAACAGCCAUCAGCAACAGGAAUAGACUCAAGAAAACUCCCCCAAGUGCUUAGAAGUUCAAACAGCAGGAAGUACAGAUGUAGAAUGCUCAGUAGUAGUGUAGAAAAAUAGAGAUUAGUAAUGGUAGUAGUAAAGAAUUUUCAAGACAAAGGCGAAUUCUGAUUUUGAUUUUCAGUCAGAAUUCGAUAAUGGAGUGAAAAUAAGACCAUGUUUUUAUUCUUGAAAUCAGAUAUGCAAGCAAGGAAAGAAAACUAAUUGAGUAUCAAUCAAGAUCAAUCAAUUAACAGAGGUUCCUUUAAUUAAGGAAUCCCAACUUGAUCAGUAAAGGACGGGAAAUAUUUAAGGAAAAGAGAUCAAAUAAACAACAUUGUGCAUAAUGUACAAAUAAGGGUAGAUACAUAAGAGUUAUUUAAGGAAUUUUUUUGAAAUACACGGUUUGAGCAAAUAAGGUAUGAAGACCAAGUAACAAACCGCAAAUCAAAAGGCCUAAGAUUUUUAUACGAAUGAAUUAAGUCUGAUAAAAGAGAAGGGUGCUACCUAGGUCGAGUCACUGACAAAAAUGGAAAGAAAUCAAUCAAGCUAUAUUCAGAAGAAAAUUUUGAACUAAUUGCAAAUUUGAAUAACCAUUUUAGGGGAAAAUUCAUAGUAUAUAAGGAGCAUACGAACACGUCAAACAUGAAAGAAGGCUGUACCGUCAUUGUAAAGAAUCGAUAGGAAAAUCUAGUGUAGAAGAGCUGUUGGCAAAAAGGUCAGAACCAUAUGAAAAAACAGAGAUGACUUUCUGAAAUUGAAAUCAAACUAGUUCAAAUGUGAGAACAUGCAGGUCACAUACAGGUGGUCCGAAAAUCCCAAAGUCUAGGGUUUUUGUCAUUAAUCCAGUGUAGGGACGAAAACGAACAAAUCAGACAAGAGCACACUCAGAAAAACUCAAAGGAACUUAAUCGUUCCGUAAAAACAUGCUGAGGGAAAACACAAUAAAAGAAAAUACAAGGAAACAUUAGGAGGAAACAUAGUAGAAUAAAACAAAUAGGAGUCAAAGCAGAAAUAAACAUGAGUCAUAGUAGGACGAAUACAGUAAGAAAACCACAUAAAAUAACAGUAGAACGAGUAAAAUUAAAGAAACCCUAAAUCGGAGAAGAUGAACAGUUUUUAAAAGCAAACUUUUAAAUGGGAUUCGUUUGAAAACCUUAAGACAAGCAUGGAUCUAGAGCGGAUCUAGAGAAAUAUAGGAAAACCUCGAAGGGCUAGGGUUUCAGAAGAACCCUAGAAGUGAGAAAGGCCUGGAAAAGGGUCUGCUCUGAGCCAAGUGAGCCAGAGAUAGGCUUAUAGAACCAGGACAUGCCGGAGAUGACUGUGAAACUUGAAUCGGCGAAGAUCUGAGUGAAAACCUUCAAGGUCAGACCUUGAAUCUUCCAGUAGCAGGUGUACAAAAGCACAUGGAGGUGAGUAUAGGCCACCCAUGGCAUGGGGAUGCCAUGGAUUCCGGUGAAACAUGGUGGGAAUCGGUGGGAGAAUGCUAGGGUUUCUGAGGGGCUAGAGAGAGUAUAAGAGGACGAGGGUUUGAUGGCGGUGGU
rnacentral:lncRNA from 1 species